UGCUGCAUGCUGGGCCCCCCUGGGGGAUGGGGGACUUGAGGACUCAGCAGCUGCUGCCGCCAGCCUGAGCCCAGGGGGCAGAGUGAAGGGAUUGAGUCGGGUGGGGGGCAGGGCCUGGGGCAGCCUGGCCCAGCCCAUUUCCAAGCACACUCCAGGGGGCCUGGGCAGACCAUCCAGGGAAGCGAUGCCCAAGCGGAGCCCCCCAACCCUGGGGAGAGCACGGAGCCGGAACAAACUGCGUCUGCUCCUCCCCCCGACACCAGCCUGGAAGUGGUAAGAGCACCCGGCCCCUGCUGGCAUCUGUACAGCUCCAGGGUGCGUGGAAUGUCUGAGGAUAGUGCCCACCGACUGGCACCUCGCUGUCCAGCUCCAGCUGCACCUGCCUGUCCAGAGAGGGGCAGCCCCACACCUUGCCUGGGGCAGCCUGAGCUGCGGCAAAGCAGAGCCCAGCCCUGCCAGAGUCUGGUGGCUGCAGUGGUGCUGGGGCAGCAGGUACAUGGGGGCCGCCAGUGGAGCCUGACCUUUGUCUGCAUCUCCAACGUUCCUGCCAAGCAUCCUGGAGCUGUGUGGAGCCUCCUCCGGCCCCGCCUGGAGCCCCGUGGUGCCAGCCGCACUCAGCUCCCCACCCUGUCCUCCAAGUGCCUUUGUGCCCUGCGCUGCAGGGCGAGUGGCACAGCUGGGCCGUGUGCGCAGAGCCGGCUAAAUCCUCCUCAGUCCUAAUCUGCUUUCCCCAGGCUGGCUGCUGCCUCCAGCGAGGGCUGGAGGGUGGCAGCAUCCCAACACGCAGACUGGGAGCUGCCUGCAGAGCCAGCCUGGGAUCCCCCACAAGGUCAGGGGCUCAGCCAGCCCUACCUUGUAGAAAGGGGAGGGGAUUCAGCAGGUGUGUAGGAUCUCCCCAUACCCUGGCCUGGGCUGUGGGGCAGGGCCCUGGGGCCUGUAUUCUCAAGGCACUUCCUGCGGCACCUGCUAGUGCUGCCGUGGGGUGCAGCUGCUCUGGGGACAGAGAAGCAGCUG